rnacentral:rRNA from 1 species
CACCAGUGGCGAAGGCGACUCUCUGGUCUGUUACUGACGCUGAGCUCGAAAGCGUGGGGAGCAAACAGGAUUAGAUACCUGGUAGUCCACGCCGUAAACGAUGAGUGCUAAGUGUUAGGGGGUUUCCCCCCUUAGUGCUGCAGCUAACGCAUUAAGCACUCCGCUGGGGAGUACGACCGCAAGGUUGAAACUCAAAGGAAUUGACGGGGGCCCGCACAAGCGGUGGAGCAUGUGGUUUAAUUCGAAGCAACGCGAAGAACCUUACCAGGUCUUGACAUCCUUUGACAACUCUAGAGAUAGAGCUUUCCCUUCGGGGACAAAGUGACAGGUGGUGCAUGGUUGUCGUCAGCUCGUGUCGUGAGAUGUUGGGUUAAGUCCCGCAACGAGCGCAACCCUUAUUGUUAGUUGCCAUCAUUCAGUUGGGCACUCUAGCGAAACUGCCGGUGACAAACCGGAGGAAGGUGGGGAUGACGUCAAAUCAUCAUGCCCCUUAUGACCUGGGCUACACACGUGCUACAAUGGACAGUACAAUGAGCAGCGACACGGCGACGUGAAGCGAAUCUCAUAAAGCUGUCCUCAGUUCGGAUUGUAGGCUGCAACUCGCCUACAUGAAGCCGGAAUCGCUAGUAAUCGCGGAUCAGCACGCCGCGGUGAAUACGUUCCCGGGCCUUGUACACACCGCCCGUCACACCACGAAAGUUUGUAACACCCAAAGUCGGUGAGGUAACCUUCGGGAGCCAGCCGCCUAAGGUGGGAUAGAUGAUUGGGGUGAAGUCGUAACAAGGUAACCA